UACACUCCUACGGGAGGCAGCAGUGGGGAAUUUUGGACAAUGGGCGCAAGCCUGAUCCAGCCAUGCCGCGUGCGGGAAGAAGGCCUUCGGGUUGUAAACCGCUUUUGUCAGGGAAGAAAAGGUUCUGGCUAAUACCUGGGACUCAUGACGGUACCUGAAGAAUAAGCACCGGCUAACUACGUGCCAGCAGCCGCGGUAAUACGUAGGGUGCAAGCGUUAAUCGGAAUUUCUGGGCGUAAAGCGUGCGCAGGCGGUUAUGCAAGACAGAGGUGAAAUCCCCGGGCUCAACCUGGGAACUGCCUUUGUGACUGCAUGGCUAGAGUACGGUAGAGGGGGAUGGAAUUCCGCGUGUAGCAGUGAAAUGCGUAGAUAUGCGGAGGAACACCGAUGGCGAAGGCAAUCCCCUGGACCUGUACUGACGCUCAUGCACGAAAGCGUGGGGAGCAAACAGGAUUAGAUACCCGUGUAGUCCCAU
rnacentral:rRNA from 1 species